rnacentral:rRNA from 1 species
AUGUCGUUCAACGCUUUGGAGUUGGUGUGCUGGAAUGUUAGAGGUCUCAACAAUCCUGCCAAAAGGAAGGCCCUUAGAGGUUUUGUAGAUUCUACUCGCGCGGCGGUCGUCUGUAUACUUGAAACCAAAUUAGAGGUGGUGGACACUUUUGUAAUCUUGCAAUGCAUGGGGCCGAACUAUGCUAAUUUCACCUACUUACCGGCGUCGGAUACUAGAGGCGGUAUA